rnacentral:lncRNA from 1 species
GCCUGAUUUGCCUGUUUCAAUUUCCCAUCGAUCUCUGGUAACAUCCCUUAAACCACACCCACUGCGCUCAUGUAGUAGCUGUAAAGGGAAGAAACCAAUGGAUUUCUGCAGCACUCCCCGGUAAGCACACAAAAAAGCAGACAGAGAACACUCCCAGGAUAGAUGUGCUGUAUCAACACCCAUCAUCUCUUUCAUUUUGCGGUCUGUCUGCUGGGCUUGUUGCACUAUCAGACUCUGAACCUUUGGUUCACAAUCAGAAAGUUGCUUAGGUGUAUGCGUGAGUUGUGAUAAACUGACAAGGUUCCUGGUUCCUCCAACAGUAUGUUUCCCUGCAGCCAUCCUUCCUGGACCCACAGGCGGAGUCUGUCCGUGCCCCUCACUUUCACUCCAGGUCAUCACACAUACAGAACUUUGGAAACUGGCUAAGUCUGGCGCAGAGUAAAGCUCCCACACCCUCUGCUCUCCCUCAUAGCCUUGCUGUCCCUUCACAUUUUCACCCAGUGCAUCACAUACAUCUGCUUCAGGCACAUAUAUUCCUUGAGGCCCCUCUCGCUGGAAGGCUUUUCCCAUACAUUUUCACAGGACACAUUUGACCCCCCUUGAUCAGAUACAGAAUUUUGCACACACUCACAUAAUUUCUUCUCCAAGGCAGGCCCUCCUCUCAGAAUCUCACAUAGCACCUCAGACUGCUGCAGCCCUGACCCACUGUUGACUUGUUACCACUGCAACUAGUGGUACACAUCCCUGGCUCUCACCUUCCUCCUCCCCCUUACUCUCUGACAUCCCAGACUCACAGUAUUUUGAUACAGGCACAUCACUACUCACCCCUAUCUCACAUUUGGUAGACAUCACUGGUUCAGUUACAGGUAGAUAUUUAUCCACACCCUGCUCUCCCUCCCAGCAAUCACACUUCACAAUGUCUCCCAAAGUUUCACACAAUACCUUAGGUGGAGCAGUCAGCCCUUCUGGCUCACAAACAGUGUCCGCUGGAGCAUAGUGACAGAACAUCCUGCCCAAAUCAUUCCCCAACAGAACAUUAACAGGGAUAUCCUCCGAAACCCCCACUUCCCGCAAACCUUUGCCCGCACCCCAAUCAAGGUACACACGUGCCAAGGGCACAGCGGGGCGUACACCCCCAAUUCCUUUGAUGGACAUGGUUCUUCCAGCGAUUAUGUCCUCCGUAUUUACCACUUCAGGUCGCACCAGGGUGAAGGAAGCUCCAGUAUCUCUCAGUCCCAUGGUCACUCGGUCACCCACAAUUACACUCUGCAGGUUAUCCUCUCGUUUCCCCACAGACCCACCCACAAGCAAAACUGAUGGUGCCCCUCCACGGGCUGGUGAGGGCAUAUUCCUAGUGGGGCAAGUCCUGCUCAGAUGACCAAUCUGGUUGCAUCGAAAACAACGGCGGGCAUCUGACUCACUUGACAUAGCCCCGGCUACGCUGGCAGUCGGCGGUGAAGUUCUCACUGCAGAUCUUACAGGUGGUGAUUGAACUGUAGCUUCUCUCCAGGUCGAAGUAGCAGCUGACACAAGUCCACGCCUGGAUGUGGGUGCAUGGAUGUCGGCAUAGUCAUCUGCCAGUUCUGCAGCAGCCCUAGCAUUUUUUGGCUUUCUUUCCAAAAUCCACUCUCGUACAUUAGGGCUCCGGGUCUGCAAGAACUGCUCCAGGACCAUUAAGUCAUUAAGGGCUUCAUAGGUAGUAGCUUGUACUCCUGUUACCCAUUGCUGGAACGUGGUUUCUAAUUGUGCAAUAUAUAGAAUGCAGCUGGAUGAUGGGCAUUGCUGCAUACUCCUAAACUUUUUCCUGUAAGACUCAGGAGUAAGGUUAAAAGUUUUUUGCAAUGCAGAUUUGGUUGCCUCAUAGUUGUUAUCAGUCUCUGGGGGAAGGGACACAAAACACAUCCAAGGCUUUCCCUUUCAAUUGUGGAGUUAAAUAUCUGCCCCACUGGUCUGAGGGUAGUUGAUGCUGCCUGCAUACUUUCUCAAAACUUUUUAAAAAUACAUCCAAAUCUGUCCCUUCUUC